rnacentral:rRNA from 1 species
AGUGAACGCUGGCGGCGUGCUUAAUACAUGCAAGUCGAACGAUGAAGUCCUAGCUUGCUCGGAUGGAUUAGUGGCGCACGGGUGAGUAAUAUAUAGUUAAUCUGCCUUGCACUGUGGAACAACAGUUGGAAACGAUUGCUAAUACCUCAUACUUCAACUUUACAUAAGUUAAGUUGGGAAAGUCUUUUCGGUGCAAGAUGAGACUAUAUCGUAUCAGCUAGUUGGUAAGGUAAUGGCUUACCAAGGCUAUGACGCGUAACUGGUCUGGGAGGAUGAUCAGUCACAUUGGAACUGAGACACGGUACAAACUCCUACGGGAGGCAGCAGUAAGGAAUAUUGUGCAAUGGGGGAAACCCUGACGAAGCAACGCCGCGUGGAGGAGGACACUUUUCGGAGCGUAAACUCCUUUUGUUAGGGAAGAAUAAUGACGGUACCUAACGAAUAAGCACCGGCUAACUACGUG